rnacentral:rRNA from 1 species
UACGAAGGGGGCUAGCGUUGCUCGGAAUCAUUGGGCGUAAAGAGCUCGUAGGCGGCUUGGCAAGUCGGGUGUGAAAACUCCAGGCUCAACCUGGAGACGCCACCCGAUACUGCCAUGGCUAGAGUCCGGUAGGGGACCACGGAAUUCCUGGUGUAGCGGUGAAAUGCGCAGAUAUCAGGAGGAACACCGGUGGCGAAGGCGGUGGUCUGGGCCGGAACUGACGCUGAGGAGCGAAAGCGUGGGGAGCGAACAGG